UGGGGAAUUUUGCGCAAUGGGCGAAAGCCUGACGCAGCAACGCCGCGUGACCGAUGAAGCUUCUCGGAGUGUAAAGGUCUGUCGUGAGGGAAGAAAAAUCCGGAUGUAAAUAAUGUUCGGACGUGACGGUACCUCACAAGAAAGCACCGGCUAACUUAGUGCCAGCAGCCGCGGUAAUACUAGGGGUGCUAGCGUUGUCCGGAAUCACUGGGCGUAAAGGGUCCGUAGGCGUUUUGCUAAGUUGAUUGUUAAAUCCAUCGGCUCAACCGAUGAUCUGCAAUCAAAACUGGCAGAAUAGAGUUCGAGAGAGGAAAGUGGAAUUCCUGGUGUAGCGGUGACAUGCGUAGAUAUCAGGAGGAACACCAAUGGCGAAGGCAGCUUUCUGGCUCGAUACUGACGCUGAGGGACGAAAGCGUGGGGAGCGAACAGG
rnacentral:rRNA from 1 species